rnacentral:rRNA from 1 species
UACGGGGGGAGCAAGCGUUGUUCGGAUUUACUGGGCGUAAAGGGCGCGUAGGCGGCCAGCACAAGUCAGUUGUGAAAUCUCCGAGCUUAACUCGGAAAGGUCAACUGAUACUGUGCGGCUAGAGUGCGGAAGGGGCAACUGGAAUUCUUGGUGUAGCGGUGAAAUGCGUAGAUAUCAGGAGGAACACCGGUGGCGAAGGCGGAUCUCUGGGCCUUACCUGACGCUGAGGCGCGAAGGCUAGGGGAGCGAACAGG